rnacentral:rRNA from 1 species
CCUACGGGGGGCAGCAGUGGGGAAUAUUGCACAAUGGGGGGAACCCUGAUGCAGCGACGCCGCGUGGGUGAAGGAGUAUUUCGGUAUGUAAAGCCCUAUCAGCAGGGAAGAACAAUGACGGUACCUGACUAAGAAGCACCGGCUAAAUACGUGCCAGCAGCCGCGGUAAGACGUAUGGUGCAAGCGUUAUCCGGAUUUACUGGGUGGAAAGGGAGCGCAGGCGGCACGUUAAGCCUGGUGUGAAAGUCCGCGGCCCAACCGCGGGACUGCAUUGGGAACUGGCGCGCUGGAGUGCCGGAGGGGUAGGCGGAAUUCCUAGUGUAGCGGUGAAAUGCGGAGAUAUUAGGAGGAACACCAGUGGCGAAGGCGGCCUACUGGACGGUGACUGACGCUGAGGCUCGAAAGCGUGGGGAGCAAACAGGAUUAGAUACCCUUGUAGUC